GAUGAACGCUAGCGGCAGGCCUAAUACAUGCAAGUCGAACGGCAGCGCGGGUAGCAAUACCUGGCGGCGAGUGGCGCACGGGUGCGUAACACGUAUGCAACCUACCCAUAACCGGGAAAUAGCUCGGAGAAAUUCGAAUUAAUGUCCCAUAAUAUCAUGAAGUGGCAUCUCUUUAUGAUUAAAGAUUAAUCGGUUAUGGAUGGGCAUGCGUUUGAUUAGCUAGUUGGUGAGGUAAUGGCUCACCAAGGCAACGAUCAAUAGGGGUUCUGAGAGGAUGAUCCCCCACACUGGUACUGAGAUACGGACCAGACUCCUACGGGAGGCAGCAGUAGGGAAUAUUGGGCAAUGGAGGCAACUCUGACCCAGCCAUGCCGCGUGAAGGAAGAAGGCCUUCUGGGUUGUAAACUUCUUUUAUAUGGGAAGAAAGGACUCUUGCGAGAGGCGUUGACGGUACCAUAUGAAUAAGCACCGGCUAACUCCGUGCCAGCAGCCGCGGUAAUACGGAGGGUGCAAGCGUUGUCCGGAUUUAUUGGGUUUAAAGGGUGCGUAGGCGGCUUUAUAAGUCAGUGGUGAAAGACUGUGGCUCAACCAUAGAAUUGCCAUUGAUACUGUAAAGCUUGAGUAUAGUUGAGGUAGGCGGAAUUGACGGUGUAGCGGUGAAAUGC
rnacentral:rRNA from 1 species